AAUGGCCGUAUUAACAGUUCUUUAACCUUUAACUUUCUGAACAUGAAUGUAACAUUGAACAUAAACUGUUAUGAACAUGGCUUCUUCUGCCUACUUCUUACUGCUAGAGGUCUGGCAGCGCUUCCUCUCGCAUAGCCGAGCCACAUUUGGCUUAAGGGAGGAGGCAGUUGAGACCCUAAGUAGGGCUUGAAGAUGCUCAUCAGUAAGUCUCGACCUGUACUUGGACUUAUUGAAGUUCAAGGUAGAGAAGAGCUUUUCGCACAAGUAUGUGCUCCCAAAAAGACACAUGGUCCGCUUGAACAUUCGGGAAAGCUCAGGGAAGCUGGGUGGCAAUUCUCUCAAAAAUUGCCCAAGCUUGUCUGCUUUUCCACUCACCUCCCUGAACUUGGCUUUCAGUUCAGAGUUGCACUGUAGGUCAGUCAGCUCCAUUUGAAGCACAGGAGGAGCAUCUUGCACGUCAAAGGAGAAGGGGUCCGCAAAAAUUUGAAAUGUGGCUCUGUGCGUCUUGAAGUCUGCAAAUCUGUGAUCAAAUUCCUCCUGUAGCUUCAAAAUGACAUCCACAUACUUCUCACCACUGAAUGGUGUGCCUGCAUCCAUGAGUGCCUUGCAUGCUGGAAAAUGGCAAAGGUUUGUCUGAGAAACCUGGGCUUUCCAUAACAUGAGUUUUGCAGAGAAUGCUCUCACGUUGUCAUAGGCAGCACUGACAAGUUGCCCCUGGCCUUGUAACUUCUUAUUAAGUACAUUAAGCUCCUGGGUAAUAUCAACAAGAAAAGCUAAGUCCAUGAGCCAUUUGGGAUCACUUAGCUCGGGAACAGCAACCCCAUCUUUCUCCAUGAAGGCUUUCACUUCCACUCUCAACUCAAAAAAUCUCUUCAGUGUGUUUCCCCUGCUGAGCCAACGUACCUCGGUGAAGUAGAGCACAUCCCCAUAUUCUGACUCCAUUUCCUCUAAAAAAGCACGGAACCUUCUGUGCUUUAAGCUCCUGGAUCUGAUUUGGUUGAUGCAUUUCACAACAACAGACAUCACAUUGUCAAACUUCAGGCAUUUGCUGCAAAGGGCCUGCUGAUGGAUAAUGCAGUGCAAAGCAAUGGCCUCCUCCACACUCUCCUCUUCCAGUUUUUUUUUAACAAGUGCCACCAGUCCAUUUUUCCUCCCUGUCAUUGAUGGCGCUCCAUCGGUUGUUAUUCCAACAAACCUCUUCCACGGCAAACCAGCAUUCUCAAUGGCAUCACACAGCUGGUGAAAUAUCUCCUGAGCAGUGGUCUGGCCAUGCAUUGGAAUUACUGUGAGCAACUCCUCUGUGACUUCAAAAUUGUCAUCAACACCACGGACAUAGAUUGCUAGCUGGGCUGUGUCAGUGAUGUCUGUAGUCUCAUCAAGAGCAACUGAGUAUGCACUGAAACGCGUUGCUUUCUCAAGCAGUUGAUCAUAAAUGUCACUUGACAGGUCAGAAAUGCGUUCUGCCACGGUGUUGGCAGAAAGGCUGAUGUUGUUAAACUGACCUUUUUUUCUGGACAGACAAUACUUGCAGCCUGUAAUAUGCACUUUUUAACAAAUUCACCUUCUUUGAAUGGCUUUCCUGCUUUAGCAAUCAUCUCACUAACCACGUAGCUAGCUUCAACUGCUGCAUCAUUCUCUUUGGUUGCUUUCUUAAAGAAAUCUUGUUGCCUCAGUAGACAUGUUUUAAGAUUAACAACCCGGUUGGCUCUCUCAUCUCCCUGGUAUUUUGCAUACUCCUCAGCAUGUCUAGUUGUGUAAUGACGUUUCAAAUUGUAUUCUUUGUGCACUGCAACUUUCUCUGUGCAAAUAAGACACGUCGGGAUGCCCCUGUGCUCAACAAAGAAAUAUUGCUCUUCCCACUUUUUCUGAAACUGUCUGUGCUCAUCCCCAACCUUUUUCUUCACUGCAGGCUUUGAAAAAGACAUGUUUGGGGCUGUAGUUUCAGUUUCGGUGAUGCGCCUUUUCCGCUUCUUUUUCUGUACCGCUUAUGUAACCGGCAUAAAAUAAUCAACACCUAUUUUAUUUUGGCGGGUAAACCUGACAGCACACUUUAAGGUCCGGGUCAGAGGUGAACUCGGAUCUCCUCCAUUUCCGUUGCUACAGGCUUUCGCUGUGGCUAGCUGCUUACGGCGUUUUACUACAUCACUGAAGAACAUUGCUGAAUCAACCCAAAUUAAAUUAGACGAAGGAUUAUAUUGGGUGUUUUCUGGUAACCAAUCGACGGUGAGUCGUUUAUUUUACGUCCUUUGUUUGUUUUUUUUAUAAUAGAAAUGCGAUGGUGACACGCCACUUAAAAUCUGUGUAUUGACGUCUUAAAAUGGUCUUGCAGACUAAAAUAUCAUUCACUUUUUGUUAAUUUUGUUCCCGAAUUGAAGAUACGUCCUCAAAGUAUUAAAUAAGACCUUUGAUUCUUGUAAUUUUGUCCUUUAAGGAUACUUUUAGUUACUUUUCAUUGAUUUUUGUGAACGGCCAAUACAACUCUGGAAUUGGUUCAUUUCUUUGGAGUUGCGCAACAAAACAAACCAAUUCAAUGUUACUUAAAACAGUAUUUAAGUAAAUUAAGUUUGUCUUUAAAUGUCAAUUAAACUUGGAUAGAACUUAAAAGUGCACUUUACUUUGAUAUCUGACUUUACUGAAUCUGUAACUUUACUUGAUCUUUAACUUUAGUUAAAUCUGUAACAAUGUGAUUAACUUGAAAUUAAUUUGAAUAAUUCCUGAGAAAUACUGUCAAGACUCAGCAGGCAGAGCCGUGCAGUUUCUGCCGGUUCUGCCUUCUCUGCUCUCUCCGCAGGUGUCUGCAGUUGACAGAUGGGCGGGCGCGCACACCUGCGGCUCGUUCAGCAGCGUUCGGCGGCACUAAGAACUACACUAACUCGGACAGCAGGAGCACGCCGUUGUGGCUGCCUCUCGUGUUGGAUCACUCAUCCAUGCUCUGACGUUGCAAGCCAAGUCCUUCGGUUCCCUUCGUCUUGGACUUUGCUCCGGACUCCCUCUCGUGCUCCCUUGGAAUUACCAAGCCGGAUCUACCUGGUUCCUCCUGCUGCCCCUGGAUCCCUGGACCCGCCGGCGCUGCUCGCUCGGACCCUGCCCCAAGCACUCGUUCACCGGUCACACAGUCACCCGCCUCCAUCAACAUCAGGCAAGAGCUGAGUGCGCUCCGCUUCCCCUCGGUCUGGUUUCAGUGCUAUGUGAUUGAGCGCGUCCCACUCGUACCUCUCUCCUCGUCGCCACCACCUUGUGACAGAACCUCCUGUGCAUUUGUUAGUUUUCCGCAGUUUAUUUAAUAAACAACUUAAAACUGCUUCCUGUGUAACUGAGUGUGUUCUGCAUUCGGGCCAAAUACGUUAAACAAAACAUGACAAAUACUAUAUGGAAUAAAGCUUUUUUUUUU